UACGGAGGGGGCAAGCGUUGUUCGGAAUUACUGGGCGUAAAGGGCGCGCAGGCGGCUGCUCAAGUCAGACGUGAAAUCCCUCGGCUCAACCGGGGAACUGCGUCUGAGACUGGAAGGCUUGAAUUCGGGAGAGGGAUGUGGAAUUCCAGGUGUAGCGGUGAAAUGCGUAGAUAUCUGGAGGAACACCGGUGGCGAAGGCGGCAUCCUGGACCGAUAUUGACGCUGAUGCGCGAAAGCCAGGGGAGCAAACGGG
rnacentral:rRNA from 1 species